rnacentral:lncRNA from 1 species
GGAAGAUCUCAUAGAAAAACAAUUUUAUGGGGAAAUGUAGCAACUAUACAAAAUUUCCACGAAACAGCAGUAUACAUUUGGGAAAGACACCCAGGUCCAGCCCAGCUUUGACCACUGGCAAUUAUACAAGCUGCUGUCCAUGUCACACACCAUUGAGUUUGGCACCCGGGCAAAGAGUUAGCUGCACCUCAGGUGAGAUAAACCUUUUAAUCUACAUACAAAGUAAGAAUCUUUUUGACCACAGCUUUAUAACCUCUGGUGCUUUGGACCCACA